rnacentral:sRNA from 1 species
AUUACGCAAAAGAAUGAUUCUGAUUAGGCCGGAUAGGAGGCCGGGCUGAUUCUCGAAGGAGGGGUGUGUUGGAAAGCGGGCGAGGUCAAACAAAGGGUAGGACGCAUUACCGCAACAGUGAACCCGCUUCUCUGGAUCUUCCCUGACGGGCAGUACUUUCACCUGCGGCACCGGGGCGUGGUCCAGCAGUCCCUGACCCCGCACUGGGGCCACCGCCUGCACCUGAAGAAAAACCCCAAGGUGCAGUGGUUCCAGCAGCAGACGCUGCAGCGGCGGGUGAAGCGCUCUGUGGUGGUGCCCACAGACCCCUGGUUCUCCAAGCAGUGGUACAUGAACAGCGAGGCCCAACCAGACCUGAGUGUCCUGCAGGCCUGGAGUCACGGGCUGUCAGGCCAGGGCAUCGUGGUCUCUGUGCUGGAUGACGGCAUCGAGAAGGACCACCCGGACCUCUGGGCCAACUACGACCCCCUGGCCAGCUACGACUUUAAUGACUACGACCCGGACCCCCAGCCCCGCUACACCCCCAGCAAAGAGAACCGGUGUGCGGAUGCUGGACGGUA